GUCGAACGGGAACCCUUGGGAUUAUCUCGAGGGGGAGAGUGGCGAACGGGUGAGUAACACGUAGGUGACCUGCCUCGAAGACGGGGAUAACUUCUGGAAACGGUAGCUAAUACCCGAUGGUCUCGGUGAUUCGGUUCAUCGAGUAAAGGUUCCGACGCUUCGAGAGGGGCCUGCGGUCCAUCAGCUAGUUGGUAGGGUAAUGGCCUACCAAGGCAGAGACGGAUAGGGGACGUGAGAGCGUGGCCCCCCACACUGGCACUGAGACACGGGCCAGACUCCUACGGGAGGCAGCAGUGAGGAAUAUUGCACAAUGGACGGAAGUCUGAUGCAGCGACGCCGCGUGAGUGAAGAAGGCCUUCGGGUUGUAAAACUCUUUUGAGGGGGAAGAGCGAGGACGGUACCCCUGGAAUAAGCGUCGGCUAACUACGUGCCAGCAGCCGCGGUAAGACGUAGGACGCGAGCGUUAUCCGGAUUUACUGGGCGUAAAGCGUCUGUAGGCGGAUGUGUAAGUUGGGCGUGAAAGCUCCGGGCUUAACCCGGAGAGGCCGUUCAAUACUGCAUAACUUGAGGGUGUCAGAGGGGAGCGGAAUUCCCGGUGUAGCGGUAAAAUGCGCAGAGAUCGGGAGGAACACCAGUGGCGGAGGCGGUUCCCUGGGGCACACCUGACGCUGAGAGACGAAAGCUAGGGGAGCGAACAGGAUUAGAGACCCUGGUAGUCCUAGCCCUAAACGAUGAAUGCUAGGUGUGGGAUCGAAUGGUUCCGUGCCGGAGCGAACGCGAUAAGCAUUCCGCCUGGGGAGUACGGCCGCAAGGUUAAAACUCAAACGAAUUGACGGGGCCCCGCACAAGCAGCGGAGCGUGUGGUUUAAUUCGAUGCUACACGAAGAACCUUACCUGGGUUUGACAUGUAGGUGGUAGUGAAUCGAAAGGUGAACGACCCUUCGGGGAGCCUACACAGGUGCUGCAUGGCUGUCGUCAGCUCGUGCCGUGAGGUGUCGGGUUAAGUCCCGUAACGAGCGCAACCCUUGCUCCUAGUUACAAGUGUCUAGGGGGACUGCCGGCGGAAAGCCGGAGGAAGGUGGGGAUGACGUCAAGUCAGCAUGGCCCUUAUAUCCAGGGCUACACACACGCUACAAUGGUCGGUACAAAGGGCAGCGAAACCGCGAGGCGGAGCGAAUCCGAGAAAAGCCGAUCGUAGUCCGGAUAGCAGGCUGCAACCCGCCUGCUUGAAGCUGGAGUUGCUAGUAACCGCGCGUCAGCCAUAGCGCGGUGAAUACGUUCCCGGGGCUGUACACACCGCCCGUCACGUCAUGGGAGUCGGUAACGCCUGA
rnacentral:rRNA from 1 species